rnacentral:lncRNA from 1 species
AUAAAUCCUUGGUUGUCUUUAACAUGUAUGUGUAAGGUUUGUUUUAUCAUUAUCACUUGCAGUAAAGAGAACUAAUACAUGAGUAAAAUAAUAUAAGCUUCUUGAUUUGUGCAUGGCUAUUUUUAUUAUUGCAUGAUGAUUACAUAUGAUCUUAUUUUAUGUGUGUGGUUUGAUAUAAGAUGAAGUUACAUGUUUGUUGUAUUCACAUGAAAGAAACAGCAUGAGAAAAAAUAAAGUAGCUUGCCGUAAGAGAGAAAGUUGUA